UCUACGGGCGGCAGCAGUGGGGAAUAUUGGACAAUGGGGGGAACCCUGAUCCAGCCAUGCCGCGUGUGUGAAGAAGGCCCUCGGGUUGUAAAGCACUUUCAGUGAGGAAGAACGCCUGGUGGUUAAUACCCAUCAGGAAAGACAUCACUCACAGAAGAAGCACCGGCUAACUCCGUGCCAGCAGCCGCGGUAAUACGGAGGGUGCGAGCGUUAAUCGGAAUUACUGGGCGUAAAGCGCGCGUAGGUGGCUUGAUAAGCCGGUUGUGAAAGCCCCGGGCUCAACCUGGGAACGGCAUCCGGAACUGUCAAGCUAGAGUGCAGGAGAGGAAGGUAGAAUUCCCGGUGUAGCGGUGAAAUGCGUAGAGAUCGGGAGGAAUACCAGUGGCGAAGGCGGCCUUCUGGACUGACACUGACACUGAGGUGCGAAAGCGUGGGUAGCAAACAGGAUUAGAUACCCUUGUAGUC
rnacentral:rRNA from 1 species